rnacentral:rRNA from 1 species
UGCCUAAAACAUAGCGUUAAUGCAUCGGAUCCCAUUAGAACUCCAUAGUUAAGCGUGCUCAGGCUAGAGUAGUACUGGGAUGGGUGACCGCCUAAGAAGUUCUAGUAUUUUACAUGC